UCCCGCUUCAAGUCCUCCCAUGUGUCGACUCGACACCGACCUUAUUGGAUCUCCUCCCAACGAGUUCGCCACCAAAGUUUCGCAUCUCCGUUCAGAUACAUUGUUGCUAUAGAAACUUUGGUAUCUUCAGAAUCAGGCCUCGUAGCUCGAAAGUAUUGUUCCAUGUCGAACAGAAAGUUCUCGAGCUCUUUGGCAUCUUUGGCCCCUCCAUAUCCAUGAGGC
rnacentral:lncRNA from 1 species